rnacentral:rRNA from 1 species
GUAUCUAAUCCUGUUCGCUACCCACGCUUUCGCACCUCAGUGUCAGUACAGAUCCAGGAGGCCGCCUUCGCCACUGGUAUUCUUCAUAAUAUCUACGCAUUCCACCGCUACACUAUGAAUUCUACCUCCCUCUAUCGUACUCUAGUGAGUUAGUUUUGGAUGCAGUUCCUAGGUUGAGCCCAGGGCUUUCACAUCCAACUUAACAAACCACCUACGCGCGCUUUACGCCCAGUAAUUCCGAUUAACGCUUGCACCUUCCGUAUUACCGCGGCUGCUGGCACGGAAUUAGCCGGUGCUUAUUCUGCAGGUAACAUCAAGGUUAUAAGGUAUUAGCUUAUAACUUUUUCUCCCUGCUUAAAGUGCUUUACAACCCGAAGGCCUUCUUCACACACGCGGUAUGGCUGGAUCAGGCUUGCGCCCAUUGUCCAAUAUUCCCCACUGCUGCCUCCCGUAGGAGUCUGGGCCGUGUCUCAGUCCCAAUGUGGCUGAUCGUCCUCUCAGACCAGCUAAAGAUCGUUGCCUUGGUGAGCCUUUACCUCACCAACAAGCUAAUCUUACGCAGGCUCAUCUAGUAGCGAAAGCUUCAAAGAGAGGCCUUCUUUCUCCCGAAGGAGGUAUACGGUAUUAAUCCGGGUUUCCCCGGGCUAUCCCCUUCUACUAGGUAGAUUCCUACGCGUUACUCACCCGUCCGCCGCUGUACUCGUAUCCGAAGAUACUUUCUCGCACGACUUGCAUGUGUUAAGCCUACCGCCAGCGUUCAAUCUGAGCCAGGAUCAAACUCU